UACUCACCAGGUCCAGACAUAGAAAGGAUUGACAGAUUGAUAGCUCUUUCUUAAUUCUAUGGGUGGUGGUGCAUGGCCGUUCUUAGUUGGUGGAGUGAUUUGU
rnacentral:rRNA from 1 species